AGUCCCACACCUGACUGACUGAGCCACCCAGGUGCCCCUGAGACUCUGUAUUUCUAAUAAUGUCCUGGGUGGUACCCAUUUUGCAUUUCUGAACAUGAGGAAGGCUUAAGGGCAGUGGUUUUUAAACAGGGGAGCAAAUUCGUGGAGGCGCUUUAAAACUUCAGAUUCCUGGGCCCCGUCUGUGACUUCCUGAACUGGUCAUCACAUGGCAAGAUGUCAGAAAAGCUAACCGGUGAUUUGAAUCAGGACUUUUGAUUUGCAACCACUGCCCUCGAGCCUUCAGUGGAUGGCUACACAUGGGAGAAUGCCUCCUCAAAACAAUGUGGUCCAAACAUUUCUCUAUUUUUAGUAAGAUUUGCCCUUUGCAAGCCUGGCCUACCAUCACUCACUCCUCAGCAAAUAUUUAUUAAGUCUCUUCUGUGUUACCAUAAAGGUUUAUUCUUUCUUUUCUUGCUGGACAGAUAGACGGCAGAUGACAGACUCUGUUUCAUGCCUCCAAGGCUGCAGAGCUGAAUCAGAGAAACCUCCAGAGGCUUAAGGUUCACUAGGUCCUUACCCAUCCCUUUCCCUCUCUGUGGCUGACACUUCUCUGCGUGAGCCUGUGCAGCUCCUUCCUGGGAACCUCGCCUGGCAGGGACCGUUGGCCCCCAUGGCAGCCGGGAGGAUGAAAGCAUUUUUUGGUCUGUGCCUGUUCCCUCCAGCCCGGGAGUCCCCUCUUUGAGGAGAGCUGUGACUCCUGAGUGGGGUUCCUUCCUCCGGGUGGCAUUUUCACGGCUCCUUCACCUCUCUGGAUGUGAACAGGAGGCACCACAAUCUUCUGGUCUUGGUUUGGCUGCUUCAAGGGCCACCUUGUGGACAGUCACUGCUCUUCUGGAUAUUUCGUUUGUGUGCGUCCUGGCAGGACAACAGAAGCGCCCUGGGCUGUGGUGGGAGCGUUCUGAGAAUGGGAUGCACUCUCUGUGCCUGGUCAGAUGCAGCUCUCCGUGGUGCUGUCUCCGAACAGCCCCUUCCUUGACUUGUAUUUUAUUUUAGCACUUCCUCCUAAAUUGCAGUGAAGUGUGAACUCACCUGUUUCCUCUCUGGACUCUGAGCUCCAUGAGGUCAAAGGCUGUGCUUUUACUCCAGAGAUUCAGCCAGGAGAAUGGUAGACCCUUAGUAGAUGUUUGCUGAGCAGAGGAUACUUCAGGGAGCUCACCAAGUCCAUACUCAGGGUGGGUCCCGGCCCCUCCAGACAACUUGCCCCCUCUUUCAUGUCACUCUUGGCCCAAAGCUGCUGUUUUACUUUCCUGAAUGCCCCAGUUUCUGACUCUUCCAUGGUCUACCCAGCCUCGAUGGGUGGACAGUUGAGAAGAGAUGAGGAUCUGGGUUUUUCCUUGUUAGUCCUUCUCACCGCCAAGUCUGGUAUUGUAUGUGUUUUGGAGUUUCCUUCUCCAAACCUUCAAUCCUGUUGAAUAGAAAAAUUUUACUUAAUUUCAGGAGGGCAUUUUCCUUCAGAUCGGUCUCCAGAGGUGGGAUGAUGCCCAUGGUCUGCCUAACCCCAGCAGAUUUCAUGUCCUUUGUUAAGGAGACUCAGUUUCCCCAUCUUCUUCUGUGUACAUGCUGUCUUAAGGUUUUUUUU